rnacentral:lncRNA from 1 species
AGUCCACCACCUCUACCCUCUUAACUCUUCCUUAGAAAUCCUACUGUCUGCAGCUGGGAAUGAAUGGAAUGAAGGAUCUCACUCUGUUACCCAGGGUGGAGUGCAGGGGCAUGAACACGGAUCACUGCAGCUUCGACUUCCUGGCUCAAGCAAUCCUUCCACUUCCUGGCUCAAGCAAUCCUUCCACCUCAGCCUCCUAGGUACUGGGAUUACACUAACUGCAUCCUGGGCAAUAUCCCCAGCUGAAAGAUUACGCUUCCCAGCCUUCCUUGCAGCUAGACGUAGCCAUAUGACAAAAUGACGCCCAAUGAAGCAUACAUAGAAAAGUCAUGUGAGACUUCUGGAAAAGCUUCUGUAAAAGUGAGGAGCAGACACCCUUUUCUUUUUCUUCUCCUUUCUCUUGCUGUUGGCCUGGAAUGUGGACCUGAUGGAUGGAGCUCUGGCAAUCAUCUUGGAGUAUGAAGUGACCUUAAGGAUGAACAGAAAAGAAAAUGAGCCUGGGCCUUUAAUGACACAGUGGAGCUGCUCCCAGCUUGGCUACCUUCCUCUUAGUCUGCUUUUAUAAGAAAAUAUAUAUAUAUCUUGUUUAAGCACAAAUAUUUUGAGUUUUUCUGCUGUUUGUUGCUAAAAGUAAUUCUAAUUGUUCCAUAAGCCUUCUAGCACUAUUGCAUUUUUAAAUUAUGCAUUUUUUGAUCAAAAAUUAAAUUGUAAUGUUAAAAAAUAAAA